AUAAGGAAACUCAAGUUUUAUGAGACUCAAAAAUUAAAGAAAAAUUAAAAACAAAAAUAAAUUGAAAUUUAACGAAAUUUGAACAAAAAUUAAAAUUUCGAAAUUGAUGAAAAACUUUUUUAGUUCACUCAUCGUUUUUCUAGCUGUCAUUGUAUUCGAGAAUUACGUAUUUCUCUAUUAAUUCAGAUUACUAGCAGCUCACUGUUGUUUUUUCGUUCGUUUCGUGUUGUGUAUUAUUAUCACCUUUUUACCGAUUAAUACCAAGUUCGUUAAGUUUAAUCGGUUUCAUAGGCUGCCUGCUGUUGCAACGGGUUUUCUCUCGUGCUGUAUAUUACUUGCACUUUCGAGACUCCCUUUAUUACAACAUCAAAGGCGCCGUGCUGACAAUUUUUGUCUAAAUUAAAGGGGUAUA
rnacentral:rRNA from 14 species